CCUCAGUUGCCCAGCUGCUGACGGCCGGUGGUACGUUCACGGGGUGGCCAGCUUCGUAUCUGCCCGGGGCUGCAACGUUCUGCAGAAGCCCUCCGUCUUCACCCGCGUCUCUGCUUUCAUCCCCUGGAUCGAGCAGAUCAUUUCCAGCUACUCCCGCUAAGCAGAAACGUGUGUGGCGUUUCCAGAUUGGGCUCUGCUUGUCUACAAAAACAACGAUAAUAAAUAUCUUCCUGGCCUGCA